GAAGCAAGAAAUUUAUAUAAUUCUACAAGACAUAAUUAUACAACAAUCUACCACCGAGCAUGAUUAACCCUGAAAUAUACAUAUAUGCUCGUCACCUCAUAUAUGUAUCAACCCCACACGUAGCAAACAACGGCAAAUAAGAAGAAAAUUUCCUCAACAAAGUUAGGCAAAAUAGUUACCUCGAACAAGCCAAUAACAAUAUCGAGCAAGCCAAGCUAUCACGGAAGAAUCCACCUGCAAACUGCAGUAAAGCAAGCAAUUAGUAAAUUUUACUUACCAUUUUUAUUUGUGCAAUUAAUAGCAAGCAGUAGUUGAUAUAACUAACUACAAUACUUAUCUUACGGACAAGAAAAGUAUUUAAGAACAAAUAAAUGAGCUCACAGCGUUUGAGCUAGGUUUCCGUGGAUCACCUAGAGUUAGCAGAAGAAGAGGAGUCAUCGAUGCAUCGAUUCUGACAGUUUAAUUACAACCUCAAUCGAAAGGUCAGAAUUGCCAUAGACUUGACACAGAUAUAGUAGAGCCAGAUGCCUGAUAAAAAGGUGAAGGAAUAAUUACAAACCGAAAUAACUUAGUUGAAAUGCAAACUAUUGAAUACAAAGGCACAAACUUAGAUUGCCAAACAAUUUCAAUAGCAAAAUACAAAGUAACUUAAUAUACACUACAAUUUCUUCGUUAAUUCCUUAGUAACCUUCAGUAAUUGGUUCACUUUCAAAAAAAAUGUUUGGCAAAUCUCAAAUUGCACCAGUCAGUAAAUCUCAACCCGUUUCAAAUUCACCACUUUAGAGAGGAAAUGUGAGGGCUGUUUGACUCAAGAUAACUUGCAGAAAAGAGGUUUCAGGUUGUGCAAUAGAUGUUACUUCUGUAAAGAAGAAUAGGAAUCAGUAAAUACCUUCUCCUGCAUUGCAGAGUAUCUAGGCAAUUCUGGGAUCUAUUUUUCAGCAUUUCUCGGAUGAUGCCUCAAACAAUAGAAGCUUGGCAAUCUCAAAGAGUAUCUACAAGGCAAUGGAGAAACUAUUCCAUUGUGUAUUCUGUGGACCUUAUGGUUGGAAAGGAGCAAAGCAUGCUUUGAAGGAACAGGAAUCAAAACAUGUCUUCAUAAUCUGUAACUUUGGUGUAAUUGUAGUAAUUUAGUAAAUCAGAAUCAUAUUGGGCUGUCUGUUGUACUAUUUGUACCAUCUUGGUACUUAUUACUUUUACCUUAUCAAAAAAAGAGUCUCUACAGCAAUAAGAUUCUUCAGAGAAUCAACAUUAAAAUUGUUAGUACACAAUCCACACAGAAUAAAGCUCUCCAUCAAGCAGUCAACAAGUCAGCAAAAGAUCAAAAUCCUAACGCAGGCUUUCAGAAAGGGCAUAUUUUUUCGAUUAAAAAUUUAAUUGUGUACAAAACUGCUCUAACUGAGUUCUGAAGGUUCAAGCUCGGCUCAAGAUCGUUUAAUGAACAAGCUCGGGUUGAAGCUCCACCCAAUUAUGUUCCUAAUCCUAACCGGAAGGGGCACAAUGUUCAAAAAUUGGAAAAUGUCUGUUAUUAUGAGAUGAGACAGAAAGUGUUUACAAAUACUUAAAAACAAAAAAGUAGAUUACAAGAUCAUGCAAAUAUAGUAAAAUAUCAAGACAUGCUGACCUUAACUGCAAGCACCCUGCCAAUGGAUGCUUCAGACUCAUUCCACUUCAUCUGAGAGCGUAGUCCAUUUC
rnacentral:lncRNA from 1 species